ACGCUGGCGGCGUGCCUAAUACAUGCAAGUAGAACGCUGAAGCUUGGUGCUUGCACCGAGCGGAUGAGUUGCGAACGGGUGAGUAACGCGUAGGUAACCUGCCUCUUAGCGGGGGAUAACUAUUGGAAACGAUAGCUAAUACCGCAUAAAAGUCGAUAUCGCAUGAUAUUGAUUUGAAAGGUGCAAUUGCAUCACUAAGAGAUGGACCUGCGUUGUAUUAGCUAGUUGGUGAGGUAACGGCUCACCAAGGCGACGAUACAUAGCCGACCUGAGAGGGUGAUCGGCCACACUGGGACUGAGACACGGCCCAGACUCCUACGGGAGGCAGCAGUAGGGAAUCUUCGGCAAUGGGGGCAACCCUGACCGAGCAACGCCGCGUGAGUGAAGAAGGUUUUCGGAUCGUAAAGCUCUGUUGUAAGAGAAGAACGAGUGUGAGAGUGGAAAGUUCACACUGUGACGGUAACUUACCAGAAAGGGACGGCUAACUACGUGCCAGCAGCCGCGGUAAUACGUAGGUCCCGAGCGUUAUCCGGAUUUAUUGGGCGUAAAGCGAGCGCAGGCGGUUAGAUAAGUCUGAAGUUAAAGGCUGUGGCUUAACCAUAGUACGCUUUGGAAACUGUUUAACUUGAGUGCAGAAGGGGAGAGUGGAAUUCCAUGUGUAGCGGUGAAAUGCGUAGAUAUAUGGAGGAACACCGGUGGCGAAAGCGGCUCUCUGGUCUGUAACUGACGCUGAGGCUCGAAAGCGUGGGGAGCAAACAGGAUUAGAUACCCUGGUAGUCCACGCCGUAAACGAUGAGUGCUAGGUGUUGGGUCCUUUCCGGGACUCAGUGCCGCAGCUAACGCAUUAAGCACUCCGCCUGGGGAGUACGACCGCAAGGUUGAAACUCAAAGGAAUUGACGGGGGCCCGCACAAGCGG
rnacentral:rRNA from 1 species